rfam:Dictyocaulus viviparus strain HannoverDv2000 D_viviparus-1.0_Cont351.15, whole genome shotgun sequence.
CAACCUGAACUCAGAUGUGAUUACCCGCUGAACUCAAGCAUAUCAUUUAGCGGAGGAAAAGAAACUAACUAGGAUUCCUAAAGUAACGGCAAGUGAAUUAGGAAAAACCCAGCGCUGAAUCUUACGAUAUUGUAUCGUUAAGAGAUGUGGCGUAUAGGUAUGGUUUUCGAUUUGUUUCAUAUAUCCAAAGUUCCUUUGAUAGGGACCAAUAUCCGAAGAGGGUGCAAGACCUGUACGGAUAGUAAGACAACGUGUAUAACUAUAUUUUGGAGUCGGGUUGCGUGAAAAUGCAGCCUUAACUUGGUGAUAAACUUCAUCUAAGGCUAAAUAUUGACGCGAAUUCGAUAGCAUACAAGUACUGUGAAGAAAAGUUGCAAAGAACUUUGAAGAGAGAGUUCAAGAGAACGUGAAAUCUUUGAAGUGGAAACGGAGAGAGUUAAUAUAGUCUAGUGAAUAAAUGUUAUAAAUAUCGUAUAGAACAAUAUGAUAUAUAAUAACAUGUAUGUCACUAAUGACUACGUUAACAACAUUAAUAGCAGAAUCUGAGUUGAACAUGUUGCCUAUUAUUGUUUUAUAAUAGUGGUGCCUGAUGUUUAACAGCAAAGUUUGUUGCGUUUUAUUAAUGUGUUUAUUAAUUCGAUUGAAUCGAAUCGAUAAGAUCCCAUAAAAGGCGCUGGUUGAUAUAGACAGCAGGACGGUGGCCAUGGAAGUCGGUAUCCAAGGAGUGUGUAAUAACUAACCUACUG